GAUGAACGCUAGCGGCAGGCUUAAUACAUGCAAGUCGAGGGGCAGCACGGAUAGCAAUAUUUGGUGGCGACCGGCGCACGGGUGCGUAACACGUAUACAACCUACCUAUAACAGGGGGAUAGCCUUUCGAAAGAGAGAUUAAUACCCCGUAAUAAAUUGAGUGGCAUCACUUGAUUUUGAAAGCUACGGCGGUUAUAGAUGGGUAUGCGUCCUAUUAGCUAGUUGGUGAGGUAACGGCUCACCAAGGCGACGAUAGGUAGGGGAUCUGAGAGGACUAACCCCCACACUGGUACUGAGACACGGACCAGACUCCUACGGGAGGCAGCAGUAAGGAAUAUUGGUCAAUGGAGGCAACUCUGAACCAGCCAUGCCGCGUGCAGGAUGACGGCCCUAUGGGUUGUAAACUGCUUUUGUACCAGAGAAAACCUACUCACGUGUGAGUAGCUGAUAGUAUGGUAAGAAUAAGCAUCGGCUAACUUCGUGCCAGCCGCCGCCGUAA
rnacentral:rRNA from 1 species